GCGGGUGUAGUUCAGUGGUAGAAUGUCUGCUUCCCAAGCAGAAGAUCGCCGGUUCGAUCCCGGUCACCCGCU
rnacentral:tRNA from 1 species